CAGCAGCCGCGGUAAUACGUAGGGUGCAAGCGUUAAUCGGAAUUACUGGGCGUAAAGCGUGCGCAGGCGGUUCGGAAAGAAAGAUGUGAAAUCCCAGWGCUUAACUUUGGAACUGCAUUUUUAACUACCGGGCUAGAGUGUGUCAGAGGGAGGUGGAAUUCCGCGUGUAGCAGUGAAAUGCGUAGAUAUGCGGAGGAACACCGAUGGCGAAGGCAGCCUCCUGGGAUAACACUGACGCUCAUGCACGAAAGCGUGGGGAGCAAACAGGAUUAGAUACCCUGGUAGUCCACGCCCUAAACGAUGUCAACUAGCUGUUGGGGUUUAUUAACCUUAGUAGCGCAGCUAACGCGUGAAGUUGACCGCCUGGGGAGUACGGUCGCAAGAUUAAAACUCAAAGGAAUUGAC
rnacentral:rRNA from 1 species